rnacentral:rRNA from 1 species
ACACAUGCAGUCGAGCGGGGAAGUAUAGCUUGCUAUACGACCUAGCGGCGGACGGGUGAGUAAUGCUUAGGAAUCUGCCUAUUAGUGGGGGACAACAUUCCGAAAGAAUGCUAAUACCGCAUACGCCCUACGGGGAAAGCAGGGGAUCUUCGGACCUUGCGCUAAUAGAUGAGCCUAAGUCAGAUUAGCUAGUUGGUGGGGUAAAGGCCUACCAAGGCGACGAUCUGUAGCGGGUCUGAGAGGAUGAUCCGCCACACUGGGACUGAGACACGGCCCAGACUCCUACGGGAGGCAGCAGUGGGGAAUAUUGGACAAUGGGCGAAA